CCCCUCCGCUUCCUCCUGACACACCCCACCCACCUCCCUCGACUUCGAUCUAGAUCAGGAAGCCCCGGCCGCAUAUUCCCCCGCCGCCCAUGCCUCACCCCCCUCUCGUCGCCGCCGGCAACCUCCGCUGCCGCCUACUCCUCUCCUCGCUGCUCGCCUCCUCCCGCACCCGCCGCUUCCUCCCCCGCGCCAUGGAGUCCUCCUCCUCCACCGCCGCCGCCGCUGCGGAGCACGCAGGUGGCGCGGCGGCGGGGGAGUACGAGGAGGUGCUGGCCCGGCUCUCCUCGCUCAUCACGCAGAAGGUGCACGCGGACACCGGCAACCGCGGCAACCAGUGGGACCUCAUGGGCCGCUACCUCCAGGCACUCCGUCCCAUCCUUCAUCCUCCUCCUCAACCGCGAUGUGGGUGGGGAUGUGUUGUCUGAUCUAGAGGGCGGAUUUGGUUCUUCAGAUUCUGGAGCUGGAGGAGCCCAUCGCGCAGAUGAAGGUCAUCCAUGUCGCCGGCACCAAAGGUCAUCCAUGUCGCGCGGCCCGAUCGGGAAGCUCCGAUUCGUCUACCCACCAGUCAGGUACGCCCUCUCUGCUCCGCCCCGAUUCACCCCUUGCAUCAGUACGACGAUGCCCUAGGAGCAAGGGCUCUUGCCCAUGGAUCCUUCCGCACCCCCAGUCCCGAUCCCGUGUAUGGCGUAGAAAUCCCUCUGCCCGUCUGCCGUAGCCGAGCUCCGCGGUUGGUCGCUUGGUAUUUUUGAAGGGGGGGAUGAAGGUUUCAGUUGAUAGAUGAUUUAUUUCUCGUCUUAUGAUUCAAUUGCAACAAGUUCCGUAGACAGUUAAUUGAUGAUCCUCAUCCUGUGUAGCUCGCACUCCAUAGCAGGGAAGGGGGAAGUAAAUUCAACUGAGUCCAGCACCUGAAAUCGUGUAUCUACCACUACCAGGUUUCAUUUUGGCAGAUGUGAAUAAUAUAAAAUCCAUGAAAUUCAGUCCAAGAAUCUGGUCAUGUUCUGCACAGAGUGCAGACACUAAGCAGCCACGGAAGAAUUCCAUGUGCUAUUAUGACUAUAUAUACACCAAAUCUUGUAACCUCUGGAUAGUGCAGCUUAGUUUUAGUACGUCGGCUGCAUCAGACUUCCAGUAAGCACUGCCACGAUAAAUGAAUUGCGUUGUGUGUCUUUGAAAUACUUCUGCAGAGCGAUGCAUAUAGGUUUUUCCGUUUCAAGCUACAUGUGUUGCAUUGAAAGGGAGCUCUCUUUCCUGCACGCAGCUCAGGCAAAACAAAUAAACAACGGAGUUAAGCAGGGUCUACACUGUUGCGUUUGUUUCUUAAAAAAAUUACCUGAGAUAUCUAACACAUAUCUGUAGAGAAUAGUUUUGCAACAGCAGUCUUCUUGUUUCGAACGGUUUUAGUUUGAAUGGAUCUCCCUCUGUCUCUGUUUCUGGGAUCAGUACAUCAUUGUCACUCCCUGGCAAGUCCCAGCACCAGGUAGACAGGCCUUUUGAGAGAGACAGAGGUGAUUGUUCAGGCCCGAUGUUCUAGUGCUUGCUAGAGUGCUUUGUAUGGCCAAAGGAUGCCUCAGUAGGCCGUCUUGUGAUGUACAGGCAGUAUCUGGUUCAGAUGGGGAAGCUACUCCUGGUAACCCCUAUUUUUCCUUCUUGCUGUGGCAGAAAUAAUCAAUAGCCGCAAAGCUACUGAAUGCCAGACUGUAUAAGCACCAGAGGGGACUCAGAUUGUGGUAUAACACAAAUCUCUACAUCUUCAAACUGUCCCCGUAAUGCCCAGUUCGAAAUCGUACAUACUGUAUUUUCAAGUGGUGCCCACAUGUAGUAACAUUAUUUUCACAUCUGUCCCCUGCGUUGAAUUUGAUACCGGCAAUGAACCAGUCACUUGUCUCUCGAGUUGUCAGAGGGACGUUUUUCAUGUUCCGCAUCUUGGAUUGGUAACUACAUGUAUAACAUUUUCCACAUUUUUGUCCUGCAGCAGUAGCAACCUAGUCGUCGUCGUCGAUGGCAGGGUUGUAACCUCACUGUCACGCUAAUGGACGCAAAAAAGAAGAGUGGUAGUACUAUCAAUGGUUCAGUCAGCGUCUCAACAGCGUCUGCACUACUUCUGAUAUUGUUUUUCAGUAGCUUUUUUCUGCACCUUUUUCUUUCAGUUCUUAGUGCUGCUGCCCCACGAACACUUUUUUUUUAAUUUGACUGUACAGUCAAAUGAAGCCUUUGUUAAGUAUACACUCCAAAAUUCAGUUAACAGUAGCCUAACUGAAUUUUCUGUUUCUGAAUUUAUAAACUCACUUUAUAUUCAGUUUAUAAAUUAACAGUAGCUUCAAAAUUAAGUAUCUUUCGCAUGGAUCAACUGUUGUUUUAUUUUGUGGAGGAUAAAGUUCAGAUCAUGAAUAAUGGCAUUACAAGUCAACUUGGCACAAUUCCACAUGUCCUGAACCUCAUAGAAUCUGACACUAGCAAGUCUUCAUUGGCAUGCAAGUACUACUUUUACAUUGUCUUGACAGGAACAAUUAAUUUGACAUGUAUCAUUGGUACUGCUAAAACAUUUCUUUCAUGUUUCAACAAAUUUGGUGAAGACCACUUCAUAUGUAUUUUGCAUAUAUGAAUUAUCUCCUGUUGCUUUCUAAGAUGUUAGUUCUUUCAGUUCUAGCCCUCCUAUCUUUAAUUCCUGGCUGCUGGACUACCUGCAGGACAACGAGUUCAUUUGCGACAGCUACCGCUGUGAGCAGUCCGUCCGCAACGCGCUCCGCAGCGUCUUCGCCGGGCACAACGAGAUCCUCAACGUCUGGAACUAAGUCGCCGGCCAUCUGUUUCCUGUUGAAUUUUCUUUCUAGCUCAAUGUGAUCGGAUCUGACUCAUACGUUCAGAUUUGCUCUUGUUUUCUUUUCAAAUAGUACUAGUAGUCUAUAUUCCAGUUGUGCGACUACCUCUAGCCACUUGAACCGAUGAGAAUUCUUCAAGCCUACUUAUAGCCACUUGAACAGAUGUCUAUCUCAAAUCUGCUCAUCUAAAAAAUCCUAGUGGAGUAGUAUACUGGUAGUAUAGUAUAAUAAUAUUAUCAAAAGGUAAAUGCCCUGAUUAUUUAGCUCUGUCAGAUAAAUACUCGUCGAAAGUGGGCUCCUAUCAAAAUUCAUUUCCAUUAUAAUCUUACUCAUACAAUAUUCACACCAUGUAAUUCUGGAAAUAUAUGCUCAUAUCUAGUUCUGCAUAAAAAAUGACAGUAUUGACAUGUUAUAAAUAGUUUGUUUGUCUUUCUGUUUAUUUUGUUAUAUUUUGCAGGGAUAAAGUGAAGAAAAAGAAGAAAAGAUUACUAGAAGAUUAGUUUUAGGAUUUUCUUUUAUUUCCUUGCAAUUUUCCUUUUAUUGGAUACUUGUAAAGACAUUGUAAUAUUCUUACCAUAA
rnacentral:rRNA from 1 species